rnacentral:tRNA from 1 species
GGCAUUAUGUUCAGCUAUGACAGAGAUACCGUACGGAUUGCAAAUCCGUGUACACCGGUUCGAUUCCGGUACUCGCCUCCA